UACGAAGGGGGCUAGCGUUGCUCGGAAUCACUGGGCGUAAAGGGUGCGUAGGCGGGUCUUUAAGUCAGGGGUGAAAUCCUGGAGCUCAACUCCAGAACUGCCUUUGAUACUGAAGAUCUUGAGUGCGGGAGAGGUGAGUGGAACUGCGAGUGUAGAGGUGAAAUUCGUAGAUAUUCGCAAGAACACCAGUGGCGAAGGCGGCUCACUGGCCCGAUACUGACGCUGAAGCACGAAAGCGUGGGGAGCAAACAGG
rnacentral:rRNA from 1 species